rnacentral:rRNA from 1 species
GUGGAUUAGAUACCCGAGUAGUCCACGCCCUAAACGAUGAUGACUCGAUGUUUGCGAUAUACCGUAAGCGUCCAAGCGAAAGCGUUAAGUCAUCCACCUGGGGAGUACGCCCGCAAGGGUGAAACUCAAAGGAAUUGACGGGGGCCCGCACAAGCGGAGGAGCAUGUGGUUUAAUUCGAUGAUACGCGAGGAACCUUACCCGGGCUUGAAAGUUACUGAAGGGCGCAGAGACGCGCCCGUCCUUCGGGACAGGAAACUAGGUGCUGCACGGUCGUCGUCAGCU